AACGAACGCUGGCGGCAGGCUUAACACAUGCAAGUCGAGCGCCCCGCAAGGGGAGCGGCAGACGGGUGAGUAACGCGUGGGAAUCUACCCAUCUCUACGGAAUAACGCAUGGAAACGUGUGCUAAUACCGUAUACGUCCUUCGGGAGCAAGAUUGAUCGGAGAUGGAUGAGCCCGCGUUGGAUUAGCUAGUUGGUGGGGUACAGGUCUACCAAGGGGACGAUCCAUAGCUGGUCUGAGAGGAUGAUCAGCCACACUGGGACUGAGACACGGCCCAGACUCCUACGGGAGGCAGCAGUGGGGAAUAUUGGACAAUGGGCGCAAGCCUGAUCCAGCCAUGCCGCGUGAGUGAUGAAGGCCCUAGGGUUGUAAAGCUCUUUCACCGGUGAAGAUAAUGACGGUAACCGGAGAAGAAGCCCCGGCUAACUUCGUGCCAGCCGCCGCUGUAAUAC
rnacentral:rRNA from 1 species